UCACCAGGGCAUCAAUCCCCUUCCUGGACCUCGCUUCCCACUGCUGAGGACUCAGCCGGUUUCCACGACCACCCAGAACUACUUGUAAAUAGGGAAGAAAGGAUUUCAGCUUGCUCACAGCCUCUUCCUACUCAGGGCAGUGGGACCUCGGGCUCUAGGCAGGUCUGCCCAGUCACACCUGUGGUCACACACAGCAAGGAUUUACAGCAGCAGAGAGAGCAGAUCAGCAUCCAGACACUGGGGACAGGACCUGCCUGCUCUCCCCACAGAUGAAAAGCCCUGUCCACAAACACGCCCACCCACCUACAGCCCUCACAAAGGGGGUGGGACUCAAUUCCAGCCAGGAGCAUGAGAAUAGAAGAGCUGCAGAGGUGGCAGGAGGUAGGUCCACACCCAGGGAAGGAGGGA
rnacentral:lncRNA from 1 species